GUGUUUGGUGGAAUUGGCAGACGCGCUAGAUUCGGGUUCUAGUGUCAGCAAUGACUUGGAGGUUCGAGUCCUCUUGACCGCA
rnacentral:tRNA from 1 species